GACGAACGCUGGCGGCGUGCCUAACACAUGCAAGUCAACUUGACUGAAGGAGCAAUCUGACAGUAGAGUGGCGCAAGGGUGCGUAACGCGUAAGUAACUUGCCCCAAGGUAAGGAAUAACGUCGAGAAAUCGGCGCUAAUACCUCAUAAUGCAGCGGAUCCGCAUGGAUAUGUUGUUAAAGGUUUACCGCCUUGGGAUAGGCUUGCGUCUGAUUAGCUAGUUGGUGUGGUAACGGCACACCAAGGCUACGAUCGAGUAACUGGUCUGAGAGGAUGAUCAGUCACACUGGAACUGAGACACGGUCCAGACUCCUACGGGAGGCAGCAGUGAGGAAUAUUGGGCAAUGCUCGAAAGAGUGACCCAGCAACGCCGCGUGGAGGAUGAAGGUAUUCUAUAUCGUAAACUCCUGUGAGAGCAGACGAAAGACAGAUUAUUAAUCUGGAUGACUGUAUGCUCAGA
rnacentral:rRNA from 1 species